AGCAAUGGCACGGAUGAGACAUGUCAGGUCUGAUAACGAGCACCGAAGGGGCAAGCCCGGAAACUGGCAAGACCGGGCGAAACUCUCAGGUAAAAGGACCCUGCACCGGUU
rnacentral:ncRNA from 2 species